rnacentral:lncRNA from 1 species
UACCUCCUCACCGAAAAGAGCCAUCCUUCUGCAUCUUCUCCAUUGAACCUUGGCAUAUUAACUUUGAUAUGUUUGGCUGGGGUAUACGCCUCAUUAUCUAAUAUACUGGUUGCAUAUGCAGGUCUGUCCAGAUCUACUACAGAAUGAUGGAACAUGUGGAGAGCAUUUCCAUUAGUUUCUGGAAUUUUUGUGUCUAAUUCAGGUGGUUUUCCUUUUAUUGACGAGCAUAAUUCUGAGAUCUGUCUUCCCAACUCUAGGAUAUUGUUAUUUACUGUUAUACGAAAUUCACUCAUAUCCUUGAUUUGUGACAUCUGCAGGGUUUGUAAUCGACAGAAAUCUGGAUUGGAGGACAAGUCAAUAGCCAUCCUGCAAUGAAGAGUUCAAAUGAUUGAAAGCACCAGUGAUGGGGUUCUACCCAAGAAUUUUAAUUCAGAAAGAUCUGACCUGACGGACAGGAGUGCCUUAGAGCCAAGAUCGAUGAUCUCGGGUGUCCAAGGCUAACACUUCGGGAAUAUAUCCCUGAAAUUGAGGCUAAGCCCUAAUUGAAUAAUGCGGUUAAGCGAUCCAACAGAGUGCUCAAUACGGC